GACUCUCGGCAACGGAUAUCUUGGCUCUCGCAUCGAUGAAGAACGUAGCGAAAUGCGAUACUUGGUGUGAAUUGCAGAAUCCCGUGAACCAUCGAGUCUUUGAACGCAAGUUGCGCCCGAGGCUAUCCGGCCGAGGGCACGCCUGCCUGGGCGUCACGCCUCGCGUCGCUCCG
rnacentral:rRNA from 3 species